UACGUAGGGUGCAAGCGUUGUCCGGAAUUAUUGGGCGUAAAGAGCUCGUAGGCGGUUUGUCGCGUCUGCUGUGAAAACUCGGGGCUUAACCCCGGGCCUGCAGUGGGUACGGGCAGACUAGAGUGCGGUAGGGGAGACUGGAAUUCCUGGUGUAGCGGUGAAAUGCGCAGAUAGUCAGGAGGAACACCGGUGGCGAAGGCGGGUCUCUGGGCCGUAACUGACGCUGAGGAGCGAAAGCGUGGGGAGCGAACAGG
rnacentral:rRNA from 1 species